GGUUAAAGAAAAGUGAAGAAGAAAUUGCUCCUGUAAGGGAUUCACUUGCAAAACUGCUUCCAGCUGCAAAAUUAGAAAGGACACAGUUGAACAAGCAAUGGAAACUUAGUGAAGUUAUAAAUGAGAAAAAUAAAGUUGGCUCAAAUAAACAACACAAUUUAUACAGAAACUACCUUGCUCUUGGAUUCCAAUCAGUAAUUCGAGAGCUGGAGAAGAAAGAACUGUGCUGUGUUAUACUGAGCAGUG